AUUGAGCGCUGGCGGCGGGCCUAACACAUGCAAGUCGAACGGUAACAGGAAGAAGCUUGCUUCUUUGCUGACGAGUGGCGGACGGGUGAGUAAUGUCUGGGAAACUGCCUGAUGGAGGGGGAUAACUACUGGAAACGGUAGCUAAUACCGCAUAACGUCGCAAGACCAAAGAGGGGGACCUUCGGGCCUCUUGCCAUCGGAUGUGCCCAGAUGGGAUUAGCUAGUAGGUGGGGUAACGGCUCACCUAGGCGACGAUCCCUAGCUGGUCUGAGAGGAUGACCAGCCACACUGGAACUGAGACACGGUCCAGACUCCUACGGGAGGCAGCAGUGGGGAAUAUUGCACAAUGGGCGCAAGCCUGAUGCAGCCAUGCCGCGUGUAUGAAGAAGGCCUUCGGGUUGUAAAGUACUUUCAGCGGGGAGGAAGGGAGUAAAGUUAAUACCUUUGCUCAUUGACGUUACCCGCAGAAGAAGCACCGGCUAACUCCGUG
rnacentral:rRNA from 1 species